GCUCACUGUACUGGAAAGCUCAUUUCUGAGAGCCUCCCUGUCUCUCUACCAGUUCCUACUCAGGCUAGAAAUGGGUCUAUAAUCCACUAAUAACUCAAGUCAAUGACCCCCUAGUCCACAGGGCCAAAAUGAGUUAUUCAAUGUAAUUGUGGAGGAUGCCUGAAACACUUGUGCCCGUAUCCUACCCCCAGAUCAAGAGGAAACAAUAAAAUCCUGGAACUCGAGCCAAAAGGGACAUAAGGCAAUCAUCUGGUUCAGCCCUGUAUCUAGUGGCAGUUAUCUACUCCUCUUGACACCGAAAUCUAUGAGUUUAGAACCUUGGUUCACCUUGCUGGCUCCAAUCAGUCUGGAAAAAUAGAAGUGGAAUCCAAGGCCAAGAAAGAUGAAGAAAUUGAGAAUCGGAGACGUGUCUACUUUCCCAGGAUCACUCAGUUAAUAAGUGGGAGAGGUAAGAUUUAUAUAAUCAUGAUGAUGACAGCUAGCAUUUACAGAGUGUCUACAAUGUACCAGGAAUUGUGCUAAAUGCUUUACAAAUAUUAUCUCAUUUGAUACUCAGAACAAUCCUGUAAGGUCAAUGUUAUUGUUAUGCUCACUUUACAGUUGAAGAAACUGAGGCUAAGAAAGGUUAAGUAACUUACUCAGGGUCACACAACUAGUAAAUGUCUGAGGCAAGAUUUGAA
rnacentral:lncRNA from 1 species